rnacentral:rRNA from 1 species
UAGGGAAUCUUCCGCAAUGGGCGAAAGCCUGACGGAGCAACGCCGCGUGAGUGAUGAAGGUCUUCGGAUCGUAAAACUCUGUUAUUAGGGAAGAACAAAUGUGUAAGUAACUAUGCACGUCUUGACGGUACCUAAUCAGAAAGCCACGGCUAACUACGUGCCAGCAGCCGCGGUAAUACGUAGGUGGCAAGCGUUAUCCGGAAUUAUUGGGCGUAAAGCGCGCGUAGGCGGUUUUUUAAGUCUGAUGUGAAAGCCCACGGCUCAACCGUGGAGGGUCAUUGAAAACUGGAAAACUUGAGUGCAGAAGAGGAAAGUGGAAUUCCAUGUGUAGCGGUGAAAUGCGCAGAGAUAUGGAGGAACACCAGUGGCGAAGGCGACUUUCUGGUCUGUAACUGACGCUGAUGUGCGAAAGCGUGGGGAUCAAACAGG